CUCUUUUCUCUGGCUUCGUGGAACCCUCUAAUGAAUCUCAAGUUCUAAAACAAAAAAACCCAACGAGCGGAGUCUGUUUGGGUACUAGAACCUUCUGCCAUUCCCCCCCCUCCCCCCAACUUUCUUCUUUUGCCCUCUUCCUAUUCGCGAUUUAGGGUUUUCAUUCUCUGAUUCAUACACACAUGUAAAUCCUGAGAGGAUCGGCACCUCUUUCUUCCGAUUCUUCCAUUUCUUGUUUGUUUCAAUUCCCCCAUUCUGUUAAUUCUUUAUUUUUUUUUCCUUCUUUCGAUCCUCUGCAAAGCCGUAGCAGGUUUGACCUGAAGAGCACCGCCACCGCCUUCCUCGUCAAUGGCGGAGCAUCUGGCUUCGAUCUUCGGCACCGAGAAGGACCGCGUGAACUGCCCCUUUUACUUCAAGAUAGGCGCGUGCCGCCACGGCGACCGCUGCUCGCGCCUCCACAACCGUCCCACCAUUUCGCCCACUCUUCUCCUCUCCAACAUGUAUCAGCGUCCUGACAUGAUCACGCCGGGCGUCGAUGCUCAAGGCCAGCCUAUUGACCCUCGCAAGAUCCAAGAACACUUCGAGGACUUCUACGAGGACAUCUUUGAGGAACUCAGCAAGUUUGGCGAGAUCGAGAGCCUCAAUGUUUGCGACAACCUCGCUGACCACAUGAUCGGCAACGUUUACGUUCAGUUCAAGGAGGAGGACCAAGCCGCAGCCGCCUUGCAAGCCUUGCAGGGCCGGUUCUACUCCGGCCGCCCCAUCAUCGCCGAUUUCUCCCCGGUGACGGACUUCCGGGAGGCCACGUGUCGCCAGUUCGAGGAGAACAACUGCAACCGAGGGGGUUACUGUAAUUUCAUGCACGUGAAGCUGAUUGGGAGGGAAUUGAGGAGGAAGCUGUUUGGGCGGUACCGUGGUUACAGGAGGAGCAGAAGUCGGAGCCGGAGUUUAAGCCCGCGGCACCGGAGGGAGCGGGAUUUCCGUGGUGGUGGAGAGUUUCGGGACCGCGGUGGGGACUUCCGUGGGAAUGGGCGGCGGGGUGGGAGGUAUGAUGGUGGCGAUGGGGGACGGAGAAGGCAUUUGAGUCCUCGGCGGAGCAGGAGUCCAGUGAGGGAGGGGAGUGAGGAGCGCAGAGCAAGGAUUGAACAGUGGAAUCGUGAACGCGAGGAGAGGCUGUAAUUCCGUGCUCCUGAGUGGUGCUGCAUUGGCCUAUUUCUUCUGUUGGUUUGUAGGUAAUUAAAUAUUGAGAGUUGAACUUAACAUCUGAGUCUUGCAUAGAGGGUCUAUUUGGGAAGCUCUUCAAUGGGGCUGGUUUGAAGAAGUUGGAAACUGUGCCAAACUUCUCUGGUUAGCAAGCACAUAAAUAGAUGCUAAUUAUUUUGUUUUUUUUUAGGAACAACAAAAAUGGCUCUUGUUUGUAAGGAUACCCGUACUGUUUCUUUUCCAGGAUGCAGGAAAGCUGACUAUAGUGAGACAUUUUACUUUUUCAGUAACAGUUUCCUGAAUUUUUGUUGCUUGAUCCAAGUAGGUUGACCCUGUCCUGUUUUGUAGGUGAGUCACAGGAAUGAUCUGUUAGCUGGCCCUUCCUUUCUGCAUGCUAUCCAUUCUCCACUACAUUUUCUGCCUUGUGGCAUUGACCUUGUUCGGUGGACUUGUUUUUGUUUUCCAAAUUUUUUUCACCCACUCAUCCAUCUUAUUGCAGCCUUAGACAUGCUUCACCCAAUACAUGUAGUGGGCCUCUUAGUAGAUGAACUUCAGAAAUGAUAUCUGGAUGGACUUCAUCCACCCACUCAUCCAUCUAAUUGCAGCCUUAGACAUGCUUCACCCAAUACAACUGGUGAGCCUCUUAGUAGAUGGACUUCAGAAAUGAUACCUUGAUGGACUUAAUGAACAUCCAUUCGAAGUGUUACUGUUUGUUCUAUUAUAGGCUUUCUGAUGGCAUGAAAAGCAGAGUGAUGAUGAGGCUCACUGGAAUUCAGUGAAGCUGCAGCGAAAAGCCAGCCUAUUUAAAGUCUCUUGAUGAACCUGAUGUGAUAUCAUGUCAAACAUUGCUUGGUCAGACCAGGAUUGGGUUUGAUUGAAGUUUAUGUGGGUAACACAACCUCAUUAUUAAUUUUUUGUCCAAUUAAUCAAUUGUUUAUUUCUUUUAGUAUCUUUCAGGUGGAGCAUUCUCCCCCCUUCCAACCCCUACGUUACAAGGGUUUGAAUCUGGGAUAUCCCAUCCCUCACCACGCCUCUCUUACCACCUUGUAUUGGCUUCUAGCUGUUUUAGGGGGAAUGCUUAGAAAUUUACCAUUGCACAAAAUUGGGCUGAGCAAGGUGUACAGCUCUGUUUUUACAUAGAAUUAGUUUUUUUAGCCGUCGUACAUUUAUGUUUAAAUAGCAUUACUAUUUUAGUAUUUUUCAUCCUUAUUCAACUAUUUAGGGGUGAUAUACAAAAAACAUAUUUGAGCACUACUUCGGUGAGCUGAAAAUAAGUGUUGCCAGGUCUUUAAAUAUCUUGAACCUGCAAGAUAAACUAAAAUCAGUCAGUAGGAGGCUCUAGUGAUGACCCUCCGAUGCUUAAACGUAUACAUGAGCAAUGGCAGGAUACUGGGAUUAAGCAAAAGAAGUUUGGUUCUCUUGUGAUGGGUGUUGUAUGAAGGUAAUCAGUUAACAUGAGAUGGACUUAUGUCCCAAAUCGCAGGGUUGGCCGUUGUAAGUUUUGCCAAUUAGCAUCAUUACCGUCUUGAUUUUGUGGAUGCACCAAUUUAUUUCAUUUCACUUGUAGCCUGGUCUCUUAUUUGGUCUGGUCUCUUAUUUUAGUUGUUGAAUGUUGGUCGCUGUUGGCUGGCCUUCUAAGCUUGAUUUACUCUCGUAUUAGUGUGGUCCCAAGCCAUCAAUAUUGGCGUUGAUGUUGAGCAAGAUAUCAAUAUUUGCUGGUCUUUAAGACAUGAUGACCUCAGUUUUGUUUAUUUGUCAUAUUAGUUGGGUGCAACAUGGUAACCCUCAUACAAAUAGAAGCUGUUUUGAGGCUGGGUUCUGGUUUAACCUGUUCAAGGGGGAUUUUCACCUCUGUAAACAUCCAUUCCUUGAAUAUGUGAUGCCCUCAGUGCUGUUGAUGUGUGAAAGCUUUUUUGCAUGCUAGCACUGCUCACAUUGCUUCUGUUGUACGACUCGCUUCCUCAAUGACCCAUGGGGUUGUCUGCUUGAGUUUCUUCUUAUGACCCUUUGUGUUUAAAUUGGUGGAAAAUGAAAAUGUGCGAUGUGGUGUUUGUUUCCUUCUCUGCAUUUAUGCUUUUUAACUGCAAUAAUAUACCGAGGCUUCAAAUUUAUUUUAUAUUUUAACGGUGGUAAGCUUAUAGAAGGGUAAGCCUUGAUAUCUUUUAACUAGGGAUACUAAGAGUGGCUUAGAUGUUAUUUUGCAUUUUAUUUUGUUGAUUUUCGCUCUGCAUCAGUUAUAUUCUAAAUUUUUCUUUUGUUCCUUGUUUUUGCCAUGGUGUGGGGUUCAUGGGUGGAUUAUAGGUGGUGUGCAAGCCUUGGCGCUUUAUGACAGGUUUUGGAAAUACCUUGUGUUCUCGUGCCAUGCAACAAAUACUCUUUACUUGAUAUGCUGCAAAUAUGUAAAUAUUGUAGCUUUGCUGUCUCAUUUAUUUUGUUUGCAUGUGUAACAUGCAUUUCAAUGGUAAAUUUAUAUAGGAGCUUCAAGGCACUCUUAGGUUCCAUUUGUUACUGCAUGAAUAAGUACGUAUUCUUCUCAUCCUUGUGAGAAGUCUUUUUAGGUAAAUGUAGUCAUUUUGAUGGCAUUGGUAGGAUGUGAGGAAGGGACUAUGACCGCGAGUUUCAGUGCAGGUUGUGGGUAAUUAAUUAUUGAGGGUUGAAUCUAACAUGUGUGUCUUGCAUAGAGGGCCUAGUGGGAAGCUCUGAAAUGAGGCUGGCUUGAAGAUGUUGAUAACUGAGCCAAGCUCUGGGGUUAGCAAGCAAGCACAUAAAUAGAUGCUAAUGUUAUGUUUAGGUUAGAAAUGGUUCUUGUUUGUGAAUAUAGUAAUUCACGCCCAAAAAAAAAAAAAGGAAAGAGAACAGUGUUAUUCAAGGCAAAUGACCAUUGGUGUUAUUCCAAUCAUUGGGGAAUUGCAAGGAAUUACUACUCAAAUUUUUAACUUGAAUUCUAUAUUGGUUGGAAUAGUACUAAUUUUUGCAUUUGUUACUUGUGUUAUCUUUUGAUAAAAAUAAUAGAACUAUUUCAUUUUU